GACGAACGCUGGCGGCGUGCUUAACACAUGCCAGUCGAACGGAAAGGCCCUGCUUGCAGGGUACUCGAGUGGCGAACGGGUGAGUAACACGUGGGUGAUCUGCCCUGCACUUCGGGAUAAGCCUGGGAAGCUGGGUCUAAUACCGGAUAGGAGCCAUUUUUAGUGUGAUGGUUGGAAAGUUUUUUCGGUGUAGGAUGAGCUCGCGGCCUAUCAGCUUGUUGGUGGGGUAAUGGCCUACCAAGGCGGCGACGGGUAGCCGGCCUGGGAGGGUGGACGGCCACAUUGGGACUGGGAUACGGCCCAGACUCCUACGGGAGGCAGCAGUGGGGAAUAUUGCACAAUGGGCGCAAGCCUGAUGCAGCGACGCCGCGUGGGGGAUGACGGCCUUCGGGUUGUAAACUCCUUUCGCUAGGGACGAAGCUUUUUGUGACGGUACCUAGAUAAGAAGCACCGGCUAACUACGUG
rnacentral:rRNA from 1 species